rnacentral:rRNA from 1 species
UACGUAGGGGGCAAGCGUUGUCCGGAUUUAUUGGGCGUAAAGAGCGUGUAGGCGGCCAGACAGGUCAGCUGUGAAAACUCGAGGCUCAACCUCGAGACGUCGGUUGAAACCGUCUGGCUAGAGUCCGGAAGAGGAGAGUGGAAUUCCCGGUGUAGCGGUGAAAUGCGCAGAUAUCGGGAAGAACACCCGUGGCGAAGGCGGCUCUCUGGGACGGUACUGACGCUGAGACGCGAAAGCGUGGGGAGCAAACGGG